GAUGAACGCUGGCGGCGUGCUUAACACAUGCAAGUCGAACGAUGAAGCCCAGCUUGCUGGGUGGAUUAGUGGCGAACGGGUGAGUAACACGUGAGUAACCUGCCCUUAACUCUGGGAUAAGCCUGGGAAACUGGGUCUAAUACCGGAUAGGAGCGUCCACCGCAUGGUGGGUGUUGGAAAGAUUUAUCGGUUUUGGAUGGACUCGCGGCCUAUCAGCUUGUUGGUGAGGUAAUGGCUCACCAAGGCGACGACGGGUAGCCGGCCUGAGAGGGUGACCGGCCCCCCGGGGACGGGGACACGGCCCAGACCCCUACGGGGGGCAGAGGGGGGGAAUAUUCAACAAGGGGCGCAAGCCUGAUGCGGCGACGCCGGGUGGGGGAUGACGGCCUUGGGGUUGAAACCCUUUUUAGGUAGGGAAGAAGCGAAAGUGACGGUACCGGCAGAAGAAGCCCCGGCUAACUACGU
rnacentral:rRNA from 1 species